GACGAACGCUGGCGGCGUGCUUAACACAUGCAAGUCGAACGGAAAGGCCCUGCUUUUGUGGGGUGCUCGAGUGGCGAACGGGUGAGUAACACGUGAGUAACCUGCCCUUGACUUUGGGAUAACUUCAGGAAACUGGGGCUACUACCGGAUAGGAGCUCCUGCUGCAUGGUGGGGGUUGGAAAGUUUCGGCGGUUGGGGAUGGACUCGCGGCUUAUCAGCUUGUUGGUGGGGUAGUGGCUUACCAAGGCUUUGACGGGUAGCCGGCCUGAGAGGGUGACCGGCCACAUUGGGACUGAGAUACGGCCCAGACUCCUACGGGAGGCAGCAGUGGGGAAUAUUGCACAAUGGGCGGAAGCCUGAUGCAGAAACGCCGCGUGCGGGAUGACGGCCUUCGGGUUGUAAACCGCUUUCGCCUGUGACGAAGCGUGAGUGACGGUAAUGGGUAAAGAAGCACCGGCUAACUACGUG
rnacentral:rRNA from 1 species